CUCAGGACGAACGCUGGCGGCGUGCCUAAUACAUGCAAGUAGAACGCUGAAGAGAGGAGCUUGCUCUUCUUGGAUGAGUUGCGAACGGGUGAGUAACGCGUAGGUAACCUGCCUUGUAGCGGGGGGAUAACUAUUGGAAACGAUAGCUAAUACCGCAUAACAAUGGAUGACACAUGUCAUUUAUUUGAAAGGGGCAAAUGCUCCACUACAAGAUGGACCUGCGUUGUAUUAGCUAGUAGGUGAGGUAACGGCUCACCUAGGCGACGAUACAUAGCCGACCUGAGAGGGUGAUCGGCCACACUGGGACUGAGACACGGCCCAGACUCCUACGGGAGGCAGCAGUAGGGAAUCUUCGGCAAUGGGGGCAACCCUGACCGAGCAACGCCGCGUGAGUGAAGAAGGUUUUCGGAUCGUAAAGCUCUGUUGUAAGUCAAGAACGAGUGUGAGAGUGGAAAGUUCACACUGUGACGGUAGCUUACCAGAAAGGGACGGCUAACUACGUGCCAGCAGCCGCGGUAAUACGUAGGUCCCGAGCGUUGUCCGGAUUUAUUGGGCGUAAAGCGAGCGCAGGCGGUUUGAUAAGUCUGAAGUUAAAGGCUGUGGCUCAACCAUAGUUCGCUUUGGAAACUGUCAAACUUGAGUGCAGAAGGGGAGAGUGGAAUUCCAUGUGUAGCGGUGAAAUGCGUAGAUAUAUGGAGGAACACCGGUGGCGAAAGCGGCUCUCUGGUCUGUAACUGACGCUGAGGCUCGAAAGCGUGGGGAGCGAACAGGAUUAGAUACCCUGGUAGUCCACGCCGUAAACGAUGAGUGCUAGGUGUUGGAUCCUUUCCGGGAUUCAGUGCCGCAGCUAACGCAUUAAGCACUCCGCCUGGGGAGUACGACCGCAAGGUUGAAACUCAAAGGAAUUGACGGGGGCCCGCACAAGCGGUGGAGCAUGUGGUUUAAUUCGAAGCAACGCGAAGAACCUUACCAGGUCUUGACAUCCCGAUGCUAUUUCUAGAGAUAGAAAGUUACUUCGGUACAUCGGUGACAGGUGGUGCAUGGUUGUCGUCAGCUCGUGUCGUGAGAUGUUGGGUUAAGUCCCGCAACGAGCGCAACCCCUAUUGUUAGUUGCCAUCAUUCAGUUGGGCACUCUAGCGAGACUGCCGGUAAUAAACCGGAGGAAGGUGUGGAUGACGUCAAAUCAUCAUGCCCCUUAUGACCUGGGCUACACACGUGCUACAAUGGUUGGUACAACGAGUUGCGAGUCGGUGACGGCAAGCUAAUCUCUUAAAGCCAAUCUCAGUUCGGAUUGUAGGCUGCAACUCGCCUACAUGAAGUCGGAAUCGCUAGUAAUCGCGGAUCAGCACGCCGCGGUGAAUACGUUCCCGGGCCUUGUACACACCGCCCGUCACACCACGAGAGUUUGUAACACCCGAAGUCGGUGAGGUAACCUUUUGGAGCCAGCCGCCUAAGGUGG
rnacentral:rRNA from 1 species